AAUGAACGCUGGCGGAAUGCUUUACACAUGCAAGUCGAGCGGCAGCACGGGGGCAACCCUGGUGGCGAGCGGCGAACGGGUGAGUAAUACAUCGGAACAUGCCCAGUCGUGGGGGAUAACACUUCGAAAGAAGUGCUAAUACCGCAUACGUCCUGAGGGAGAAAGCGGGGGAUCGCAAGACCUCGCGCGAUUGGAGUGGCCGAUGUCAGAUUAGCUAGUUGGUGGGGUAAAGGCCUACCAAGGCAACGAUCUGUAGCUGGUCUGAGAGGAUGAUCAGCCACACUGGGACUGAGACACGGCCCAGACUCCUACGGGAGGCAGCAGUGGGGAAUUUUGGACAAUGGGCGCAAGCCUGAUCCAGCAAUGCCGCGUGCAGGAAGAAGGCCUUCGGGUUGUAAACUGCUUUUGUACGGAACGAAACGGUCCUGGUUAAUACCUGGGGCUAAUGACGGUACCGUAAGAAUAAGCACCGGCUAACUACGUGCCAGCCGCCGCGGUAAGAC
rnacentral:rRNA from 1 species